rnacentral:pre_miRNA from 1 species
UAUGGAUAGUAAACUUGAGGAAGAAAACGAGAAAGAACGGACAAACACAAACUUCCAUUUGUGUUUGUCCGUCCUUUCUCGUUUUCUUCCUCAAGUUUACUAUCUUCCUUG